CGUUCAAGUGAGUAGGGUGUUGCGUAGGCAAAUCCGCGCAACGUGAGCCUGAGACACGAUGACGAGUGAAAAAUAGUAACGAAGUCCUUGAUCCUCCGCUGCCAAGAAAAGCUGCUAUGGAAUAUAGAGGUGCCCGUACCGCAAACCGACACAGGUAGACAGGUAGAGAAUACUAAGGCGCGCGAGAUAACUCUUGUUAAGGAACUCUGCAAAAUGAACCCGUAACUUCGGGAGAAGGGUUGCUCUCUAGCGUGAGUAUGAGCAAUACAGAGCGCAGGAGAGUCGCAGUGAAAAGGUCCAGGCGACUGUUUAGCAAAAACACAGGUCAUUGCAAAAUCGCAAGAUGAAGUAUAAUGGCUGACGCCUGCCCGGUGCUGGAAGGUUAAGGGGAAGAGUGCAAGCUUUGAACCGAAGCCCCAGUAAACGGCGGCCGUAACGAUAACGGUCCUAAGGUAGCGAAAUUCCUUGUCGGGUAAGUUCCGACCCGCACGAAAGGCGAAACGAUCUGGACGCUGUCUCAACAAGGGACUCGGUGAAAUUGAAAUUCCGGUAAAGAUGCCGGAUACCUGCGAUAGGACAGAAAGACCCCAUGGAGCUUUACUGUAGCCUGAUAUUGGGUUUCGGAUAUUCAUGUACAGGAUAGGUGGGAGACUAAGAAGCAUGGACGCCAGUUUGUGCGGAGUCACUGGUGGGAUACCACCCUUAAAUGUUUGGAAUUCUAACAAGGAGUCUUGAAGCAGAUUAUUGGACAGUGUCAGGUGGGCAGUUUGACUGGGGCGGUCGCCUCCCAAAAGGUAACGGAGGCGCUCAAAGGUUCCCUCAGAACGGAUGGAAAUCGUUCGCAGAGUGCAAAGGCAGAAGGGAGCUUGACUGCGAGAGCCACAACUCGAGCAGAUAGGAAACUAGGACUUAGUGAUCCGGCGGUCGCGAGUGGAAGUGCCGUCGCUCAACGGAUAAAAGCUACCCUGGGGAUAACAGGCUUAUCUCCCCCAAGAGUUCACAUCGACGGGGAGGUUUGGCACCUCGAUGUCGGCUCAUCGCAUCCUGGGGCUGAAGUAGGUCCCAAGGGUUGGGCUGUUCGCCCAUUAAAGCGGCACGCGAGCUGGGUUCAGAACGUCGUGAGACAGUUCGGUCCCUAUCCAUCGCGGGCGUAGGAAAUUUGAAGGGAGCUGACCCUAGUACGAGAGGACCGGGUUGGACAGACCGCUGGUGAACCAGUUGUUCUGCCAAGAGCAUAGCUGGGUAGCUAAGUCUGGAAAAGAUAAACGCUGAAAGCAUCUAAGCGUGAAGCGAACCUUAAGAUGAGAUUUCCCACAACGAAAGUUGAUAAGACACCAGAGAGAAUAACUGGUAGAUAGGUCAGGAGUGUAAGUGUGGUGACACAUUGAGCGGACUGAUACUAAUAAGUCGAAGACUUAGUCA
rnacentral:rRNA from 1 species